rnacentral:lncRNA from 1 species
GGUGCAAAAAUUGGAUGAGGUUCAGCUCUACCUAUCGGUUCAUCUACCGCCUGAGGACUCUGGGAGACCGAGACAGACGAACUCCUAGAGCCGCUAGAAGAAGAACCCCUGGAAGACAUCUAGAAUCACAUGAAGACCACUUACAGAGGUGAAAUCCCUAAAAAUCGGGAAAAAUCACGGACAAGGUCUCGGGGGACUGAUGUGCAGAGCAAGAGGAAGAA